rnacentral:lncRNA from 1 species
GUGCUUUCUUACCUCACUUUUAGAAAUAAUAAAUAUUCAAAUCAUCUAAAAUUAAAUCCAACAGCCACUGAAAAAUAUACUUAAACAAUUAAGAUUCACAUUGUUAAGCAUCCAAUCUCACGAACGUAACUUUCCACAAUGGCUGUCAGAUCUUGGUAAAAAAAAAAAAAAAUGUUUUUAAGACAAUUUUUGGGUGUUUAUGGUAUUUUAAGCCAAUAAUAACUAGGGAAUAAGUUGUCUUCUCCCUAACAGGUCAAAGAAAGAUAAUUAACGUCAUAUUUUCAAUUAUCAACUAUUCUAAAUAGAUUGAGAGAUUUUGAAUAAAGGAGUAUUUUUAACAUUUAAAGAGAAUGUAAUUUUACAUACCAUUGUGAACAAAGGUGGUAAAUACUUUGCUGCUUCAAAUUAUCCUUAUAUCUCUAAAUCAUAUACAAGGGUGUUUAUCUUUAAAACAAAACACUAGAAAGAUUAACUAUGUUACUAUUUCAUCUAUCAUUAUUAUACAAACUAUAACAAAUGUAAAGAUUUUUCCACAGAUUUUACCUGUUAACAUUUUUAGCACAACAGCACCUGAUGUCAGUGAGAUGUCUAUCACUGAGAUGUUACAAAGAUUCCAAUACAGCAAAAAGAGGUGUUCCUGAGAAUCCACUUCGAUUGCUGUAUCAACAUAACAUUUACUAUGGGAUCCAUGUCACUUAAGACAAUAUCUUGGAAAUUAUGUCAAUUAAUUUAUACCGUAAAAGAAUAUCGGAGAGUAUCCAAUCUAUACACAUCAUAAACUGUGUAAAAAUGUUUCAUGGAAAAAAUAAAAGGCAAAGACUAAUAACAACACCAUCACCACGGUGAUAACAGAUGAUGCUGAUUCAAUAUCCGCAACCAAUUCUAGCCAAAUAUUUGGAAAGCUGGACUCUACAAUCUAUACUCUACAACAAAUACCCGGGUAUUCUACAAACACAACCUCCAGCAAUUUAUCUAAGGAAUGUAUCUACAGGGGUUUAAAGACUUUGGAUUACGAAUACAAUUACUAUUUUUAACUUUGGAUUACAAUUCGUAUCCGGAUCCAUCCAAGAAUAUCUUACUCUGGAACUUGGUGUUCUUUUCAAUUCUUUCCCAGACAAAAGCUUUGCUCAUUUUAAUCAACCACCUUUACAGGCAAAGAUCACACUAUGGUUAUUUUACUGUUACAACAAUGAUCCAUGAUGCUGGGAGCAUAAAAAACCUAAAGACAGUUGGAGAACUUUGGUUUACUAAUUUAAGAAAUGCGCUACAAUGCCCACAGUUUAAUGGAGAGGGUGUUAUGGGCAAAUGCAAAUAUUACAAGUUUUAGAAUGAAAUGUUGUAUUUCUUAAACUGUGUACUUUGUCUUUAAGAUAUAUUGCAAACUGACAAGGUGUUAGAAAUGGAACAUAUUGUUUUUCAUAACUGUUUCUUUAAGCAAUAACCUCAGUGCAUAAUAUGUUUGCGCCAUUUUGUCCCAGACGAAUUACAAUAACAAUAAUGCAUAAACAAGCUUCAAGGCUAUUCUACGACACUUGCAGUACACAA